AGAGUUUGAUCCUGGCUCAGGAUGAACGCUGGCGGCGUGCCUAACACAUGCAAGUCGAGCGAGAAAUUAAUAAAGGAAGCUUCGGUAGAAUUUGUUAAUGGAAAGCGGCGGACGGGUGAGUAACGCGUAGGCAACCUGCCCCAUACAGAGGGAUAGCAUCUGGAAACGGAUAUUAAUACCUCAUAAUACGAUUAUGCCACAUGGUAUAUUCGUCAAAGAUUUACCGGUAUGAGAUGGACCCGCGUCUGAUUAGCUGGUUGGCGGGGUAACGGCCCACCAAGGCGACGAUCAGUAGCCGACCUGAGAGGGUGAUCGGCCACAUUGGGACUGAGACACGGCCCAAACUCCUACGGGAGGCAGCAGUGGGGGAUAUUGCACAAUGGGGGAAACCCUGAUGCAGCGACGCCGCGUGAGUGAAGAAGUAUUUCGGUAUGUAAAGCUCUAUCAGCAGGGAAGAAGAAAGACGGUACCUGACUAAGAAGCCCCGGCUAACUACGUGCCAGCAGCCGCGGUAAUACGUAGGGGGCAAGCGUUAUCCGGAUUUACUGGGUGUAAAGGGAGCGUAGACGGCAUAGCAAGUCUGAAGUGAAAGCCCCGGGCUCAACCUGGGAACUGCUUUGGAAACUGCCAUGCUAGAGUGCUGGAGAGGUAAGCGGAAUUCCUAGUGUAGCGGUGAAAUGCGUAGAUAUUAGGAGGAACACCAGUGGCGAAGGCGGCUUACUGGACAGUAACUGACGUUGAGGCUCGAAAGCGUGGGGAGCAAACAGGAUUAGAUACCCUGGUAGUCCACGCGGUAAACGAUG
rnacentral:rRNA from 1 species